rnacentral:rRNA from 1 species
AUUGAACGCUGGCGGCAUGCCUUACACAUGCAAGUCGAACGGUAACAGGUCUUCGGAUGCUGACGAGUGGCGAACGGGUGAGUAAUACAUCGGAACGUGCCCGAUCGUGGGGGAUAACGCAGCGAAAGCUGUGCCAAUACCGCAUACGAUCUACGGAUGAAAGCGGGGGACUCGCAAGGGCCUCGCGCGGACGGAGCGGCCGAUGGCAGAUUAGGUAGUUGGUGGGUAAAAGCUUACCAAGCCGACGAUCUGUAGCUGGUCUGAGAGGACGACCAGCCACACUGGGACUGAGACACGGCCCAGACUCCUACGGGAGGCAGCAGUGGGGAAUUUUGGACAAUGGGCGCAAGCCUGAUCCAGCCAUGCCGCGUGCAGGAUGAAGGCCUUCGGGUUGUAACUGCUUUGUUACGGAACGAAAAGACUCUCUCUAAUACUAGGGGGUGGAAGUGACGGUACCGUAAGAAUAAGACACCGGCUAACUACGUGCCAGCAGCCC